AAGUCGUAACAAGGUUUCCGUAGGUGAACCUGCGGAAGGAUCAUUAACACGUAUCCAAACGUUAAACCCCCCUGUGAACCUUCAGUCGUACUCGUACGUCCGUUAGAAAAAGCAGCAAUCCCUGGUAAAUCAUCGCCGAACAGUUUUCGAUUCAGGGACGUCUGCAAGGAGCGUGCAUGUUGUGCGUGUAAGUGGCCUGGUAUCCCCAAGCAGUUAGUGUCUGAAAGUGUCACUAACGUUAUGUCUGAAAGUGUCACUACAUGUGUAAGGGACCCGGUCGUCGGCCGUGUGGGCCUCCAACGAUCGUGACUGCGUCAUAAGCCCACUUAUCACACCCCGAAGUCCUGCGGUCGAACGCCGAAACCGAAACUGUUGCCAAUGGAUAUCUUGGUUCUC
rnacentral:misc_RNA from 1 species